UAAAGCCAAGCGCUAAGUGUCAAAUGCCACAGGAAACUAACAGUAUCACAGAAAACGCAGAUGUGGAGUUAAGACACCUGGAAAACCACAACUUAACAAAGGGAAGAAAAGCUCCAAGAAUCAAAGAAAACCAACAGGAAAACUAGAAAUCACAGAGAGAGUGAAGAAACUGAGAGAAAAGUGGGGCAGAGUGGACACUAACCCUGGUUCCCGGGGCAGGGACACAUCUCCACAAAUACAAGGUUUCAGAUAUUUUGCCACCUUCCAGAAAUCAACUGUUCCACAUGGAAUUUGCCCCAAAAAAUGUAAAAUUUAGUCAGAGAUAAAAAGGCCUACAUAUGGAGUCACAGUAAUGCCAUCGAGUGCUGUCUGAGAGGAGCUGCUCUACAGGGGAAUGAUGGAGCAGGGCGAGGACCCGAGAGAAAAGGGAAGGUGGGGUGCAGUGAGGAAUUAGCCAGGUAAGAAGUGAGGACAGGCAGUGGGAUGGACACAGGUUCAGAACAAGAUAUUCCAUACAAACAUCUGCAGAAACUCCAAGGCUCAAGAGCACAGCAGAGCG
rnacentral:lncRNA from 1 species